UGGGGAAUCUUGGACAAUGGGGGCAACCCUGAUCCAGCGAUGCCGCGUGAGCGAAGAAGGCCUUAGGGUUGUAAAGCUCUUUCGCCCGCGACGAUGAUGACGGUAGCGGGAGAAGGAGCCCCGGCUAACUCCGUGCCAGCAGCCGCGGUAAUACGGAGGGGGCUAGCGUUGUCCGGAAUUACUGGGCGUAAAGCGCGCGUAGGCGGUCCACCAAGUCGGGGGUGAAAGCCCGGGGCUCAACCCCGGAAUGUCCUCCGAGACUGUUGGACUGGAGUUCGGGAGAGNAGAGCGGAAUUCCCAGUGUAGAGGUGAAAUUCGUAGAUAUUGGGAAGAACACCGGUGGCGAAGGCGGCUCUCUGGCCCGCAACUGACGCUGAGGCGCGAAAGCGUGGGGAGCAAACA
rnacentral:rRNA from 1 species